rnacentral:rRNA from 1 species
AGUGAACGCUGGCGGUAGGCCUAACACAUGCAAGUCGAACGGCAGCACAGUAAGAGCUUGCUCUUACGGGUGGCGAGUGGCGGACGGGUGAGGAAUACAUCGGAAUCUACUUUUUCGUGGGGGAUAACGUAGGGAAACUUACGCUAAUACCGCAUACGACCUACGGGUGAAAGCAGGGGAUCUUCGGACCUUGCGCGAUUGAAUGAGCCGAUGUCGGAUUAGCUAGUUGGCGGGGUAAAGGCCCACCAAGGCGACGAUCCGUAGCUGGUCUGAGAGGAUGAUCACCCCCAUGGGAAAUGGGAACCGGCCCAACCCCCGACGGGAGGCAGGAGUGGGGAAUAUUGGAAAAUGGGCGCAAGCCUGAUCCAGCCAUACCGGGGGGGUGAAGAAGGCCUUCGGGUUGUAAAGCCCUUUUGUUGGGAAAAAAAAGCAGCAGGUUAAUCCCCCGCUGUUCGGACGGUACCCAAAGAAAAAGCACCGGCGAACUUCGU